rnacentral:lncRNA from 1 species
CUAAAAGGAAAACAAAACCGAAGUGAAACGAAAAAGAAAAAAACAAAUUAAAACCGACUGUUUGUGGUGUUUGCUUGGCUUUGCAGGUGACGGUGGUCUUCACCGCCGGCGAGGAGAGGAAGAAGGAGAGAAGCCGGGCCAGAUCCACCUCGUCUCCUGUUUUUCUUGCGGCGGCGCGUGAACCCACGCGCCGCCAGUGGCGGUGGUGCAUGGAUCCACGCGCCCGGCACUAUUCAUACAGCCCCCAGAAGUCCUUCCCUGCAAAUUUCUAGAAUUUUAGGGACUAUUUUUGUAAAUUUUAAAUUAUGUAAUGUAAUUUUUAUUUAUUUAUUUUGUAUUUGUAUUUUGUAUUAUGGAUGUAACAAAAAAAAAAUACAGUGAAAGUGUAUGUGUGUGUUUGUAUUUGUUUUAUGAAUUUUGUUAUUUUAUUUAUUUAUUUAUUUAUUUUUAGGAUAAAAUUGCAAAUUAUUAAAGAAGAAUUUAAUAUUUUGAUCGGAUCACGGUUAAGAAUUAUUAACUUAUACGUAAGUGAUAUUUCUAAUUUCCGAUGAAAAGACAAUUAUUAAAACUUCUUUAACACAUCAAAUUCGCGAAGCAGCUUACCUCAGGUAGGGUGCGUUAGGGGUGCUAAUACCUUCCCUAACCACAACCAGUCCCUUACCCGCGAAUCUCUGACAAGACCAGUACAUCCGGUUUCCUAGUAGCCUCAAUAAAUUACUAGGUGGCGACUCCAACGAACCAAAUUCAAGAAAACACAACAACGAGACUUAAAUCGCCAGCCGAUGCCGCGCGCGAUUUUUUUUGGGUGCGACAGAAUGGCGACUCCACUGGGGAAGGUACUGUUUCUGACAUUAUUGGACUAAGCUUUGUGUAUUUGAUGUGUUUAAGUUUUUUGCAUUUUUAUCUUUUUGUUAAUAUUUUUUCCAUGCAUUUUAUAGAAUUGUUUCAUGCAUCACCUGUAUUUAUUUUUGAAAGCACACACAAGCUUCUAGGUUAGGUGGGGAACUAGCGAUCUGCCCUAAGACUAUUGGUCAGGGUUCAGAUGCGUGAAACACCCAACUCAUAUCUGAGUGCCUGCUUGGUAAUGGUGGGUAUACGUGCCUUAACCAUUCCUUGCAACGCCCCCAUACUGUCUUUACGAAGAACGUCACUGGGCAGAUAUGAGACCCUUUUGAGACCAGAUAGAAAACUUACCCAUGUUCACAUAAUAAAUAGAACCUGUCCUUAAGUUGUAUGUGAUAUCAUUGUUUGCAUAAGGGCAAACCCUUCUUGAAGCAUCUUGAACUCAAGACUUGUGGGUGACACAUUAGUCGUCACUCCGAAAAUUUUCAUUGUAGAGUUUGGGCAAAAAUCACGAUUCUUGCUCCAUCAUACAAGAGUUACGACCAUAUUGUCACCUCUCGAAGGGUGAGUUCAUCAUAUAGAUUACAUGUUCAUACAUUUGUCAUGCAUGCACCAGAAUGAAAAGUAGGUCCCCUACGAGUCUACAACACCCGACUUUGAAUGAAGAAAAACACGAAAGAUGAAGAGUAUGCUCGUCGUAAUUUUUGAAGACAUGUGUGACUUGCUUCUAGCUUACUCGAGUAGAUACUGAAAAAUAACUCUAGGAAAGUUCAAAACCCAACAAUGACUCAACCCGAAGAAAUUGGGGGCAAAAUUUGUCAAGAGCCUCGGUGCAAUCAUGUAUUUUCUGCAAAAAGCUUUGGUGGGAAGGCUGACCGAAGGGAAUUGCACCACUAGUGCAUAAUGGAGCCCAUUCUUGUGCUGCAAAAAAAAAAAAAAAAAAACCUUAGUUUGAUCAUGCCUGCAAAAUUUCUUGAUUUUUGUUUCAACCUGUUUCAGUUUUUGUUGGUAACUUGGCUCAAAAUUCCACAACACUUUCCUUGUCAAAUGAGCCUUUCUUGUUAAUAAGAUCAUGUGUUUAUAACAUGCCUUCAUUUUUGUUGUUGUUUCAUGCAAAUAACAUAUUGAGCAUAAUCUUUUAAGCAUGAAACCAUCACACCAAGAAUCUUUGGGUGUGUUUCCUUCCUUUCAAAACUAUGCAUGAUCGCACAUGUUCACAAGGAUUUUUGGAAAUUCAAAGUUUAGUACAGAAACUGAAAUCAUGUUGAUGUUUGUCCAAAACAAACGAGUUCUGGAAAUUCAGGUGAUUCCUUAGAAAGGUAACCAUACACCUAGAAAACCCCAAAAAAAAAAAAAAAAACCAUGAAGUGACUCUAAAGCUGAGUUUUAUUUGAAUGAAUAAUGAGAAAUCACGUUGCAUACUCGCAUGAAAGCAAGGCUUACCGAUCCUAAAUGCAUGAUUUUGAAAUGAAGAAAGGCCAUCUUUGAUAAUCUUUUCACGAGCCUAAAAUAUAUCAUUUGUAGUCCCCUUUUGAGCCUAUUUUUCUUGAAAAAUAACCUUGGCUAGGAUCACACCCCACACUGGGGGCAAGUGCGAUGACAUAGAGAAAACCUCAAUGAUCGAAAGUGCCCAAGCAAUACUAGGGGGCAUAAAAGAAAAUUCUCAAUCAUCAAAGGUGCCCGAACAAAUCUAGGGCAUGAAGAAAAAUCCAAAGGAUCAAAAGUUUUGAGCAAAAAAAAAAAACAAUAUAUGAUGCUCAAAACCAUAUGAAGAAAACAAAAACAAAGAGAACAAGCCCAAGCCCAACACAAGGGGGCACGAUAGACAAUUUUCGAAAGACAGUCAAAUGACAAAAGGUCAAGAAACAAGCACAAGUGAUCCUUAGUUUCAAAUCCCUUAAACACCUUUUGAGCCUACAAAUAUCAUUUUCUUCAUAACCAAGAGCCCAAGCCUACAUUACGUGCCUAAUCAAGCCCUUUCUGAUCAAAGGCAAGCAAUCUGGAUCGGUAGGCAAUGCUUUCUCAUGUGAACCAAAUCAUUAUUCAUGCAAAUAAAAUAAAUGCUUUGAACCUCGGUUCUCAAUAACCCUCAAAUUGAAAUUUAAACCUUUUCUGACAAACCAGGUCACUUCAUAUUUUUUACCAAAAGCCAAAAAAAAAGUUUUCAUCACUUCUGAUAACCUCUCCAUAGGAAACACUUGAAUUUUUAGAAUGAGUUUGCUUUGAAUCGAUGUCAAAAUGAUUUUGUGUCUGGAAUAACUUUGGAAUUCCAAAAAUUCUGCAUGAAAACACUCCUUGUCAAACCUUCCUUCACAUAGCCUCAUCCCCAAACCGAAUUGAACACUUGGGGGCAUGAUCAAGCUAGGGGGCAAUAAAGAAACAUAUGAUAGGGCUGGCUCCAUGAUUCCCAUUCUAAGAAAAUGUCGAGCAAAAUUGGCAACCCUUGAGUAAAGAGCGGAGGACAAAGAAGUAUGAUGAUAUCAAGUUUUCCUAGAGGUCAAAAUCACAAGAGAUGACUCGAGUAAGCAAGAGCGAAAAGCCAUCGAAGUUCACUGCCAACACUCCAACUUUUGAGAAAAGAAACACACCAUGAAGAAAUGGGGACCUAUUAUUUCAAAUCAGGUAAGGAUGCAUGCAUAUCAUCUAACCUAAAAAAAAAAAAAAUAUUUGCACAUAUUUUUAAUUGUUACAGGAAAAUCCUUAAUGAGGUCCAGCAAGAUGGUGGAAAAAGAAAGAAGCAUUGUGGUGAUGAUAAUAAAGAAUCGAUUUUGAUCAUGGAAUAAAAGGACGAUGGGAUGAACCUACCAUUAGGAAAAUCCCAAAGAAAUGAAAAGAUCAACCUUGCAAUCGGGAAGCCUCGAGUUUUCAACCCUUGCAGUCAGGAAACACCGAGUUUUCAAACCCUAUGAUCGGAAUUAUCAAAGCACCAAGUUUUCCAGCCCUUCUUCUGUCAUCCCCUCAGACUUCGCCAGGUAAGUCCUAUUUUUCACACUUGUCAUAUCACAUUUUUUCCAUCUGGGUAGGUCCCAUCAUAAUGAGACCGCGUUUUCACAUUUUUUCCAUUGGGUAGGUCACCCAUACAAUGAGACCAUCAUUUUUUCUUGGGUAGGUCACCCAUUACAAUGAGACCAUCAUUUUUCUUGGGGGUCACCCAUACAAUGAGACCAUUAUUUUUCUUGGGUAGGUCACCCAUUACAAUGAGACCAUUUUUUACAGAUUCUUUUGUUUUGGUUAAAUGAGGUCGCCAGAUGGGAUCUCAUGUAGCUUUGGUUAAAGGGAAAUCGCCAGAUGGGAUUUCAGGUUAACCGAGUUACACAUAUUUCGUUCCAAUUGAAUGAGGUCGCCAGAUGGGAUCUCAUGUAGCUUUGGUUAAAGGGAAUCGCCAGAUGGGAUUUCAGGUUAACCGAGUUACACAUAUUUUCGUGCCAGUCGAGAGGUCGCCAGAUGGGAUCUCAUGUAGCUUUGGUUAAAGGGAAUCUCCAUAUGGGAUUUCAGGUUGACUGAGUUACACACAUUCUUUGGUUUUGGUUAAAAGGGGUCGCCAGAUGAGAUCUCAGGAUAAUGAAAAAAGAAAAAAGAAAAAAAGAGAAGAACAGAUUAAGGUUUUUAGAUGAAGUGGAUAUUGAGCAAACAGAAAUACAAGUUUUUCUUUACAAAGCUUACUAUGCAAAACAUUGAGGAGUUUUGCUUCGUAAGCAUUGUAAAGAGGGGGCAUCUGUUGCUACCCAAUUUUUGACACAUGUUUUUGAUAUAUUUUCAAAAAAUUCCAAAAAUAGAGAAAAACAAAGAAAAUCCAAAAAAUAUGUUUUAAUAUAUUUUCGUUAUUUUAGCAUUUUCAACGUCGUCUAGAAAAGAAUUUAAUUUUUCAAACGCGUUCGACUUUUCACGCGUCAUUUUUAAAAUCAUUGUUUUUCCUCAUUGAGUCGACGUUGAUAUUGCUCGUUUUCAAAAAAUACCAAAAAAAAAAGAAAAAUCAAAAUUUACAAAAAAAAACAGAGAAGAAGAUGUUGAGGGACCAAGUUGAAAAACCUAGCAACAUUUUGCCUAUAAAUACUGGUCUUCAACUCACAUUCUGGGGGGGCAAUUUUGAAAUUUUCAGAAGACAAAAUACAAAAAACCAUAACCCUAAACAAAAAAACCUGCCUCAUUCUACCCAAAGGAGCCGCCCCCCCGGUUUGAAAUUUUUUCACCACCGGAUCCGACCCUCUCCUUCCCCGGCCAUUCCUUUCUCCCCCAUUCAGCCGCAGCUCUUGGCCAGCAACGAUCCCUUAACUUUCCCAGCCGCCAGCCCCUUUGUUUUUAUUUUUUUUUCUUUUCUCCUUCCUCACGGAGAGGCAGCCCCUCACCUGGGGAUUUUUCUCCUCUCCCUCAAUCGGUUGCCAGCCUUUUCACCGGCACCGCAGCAGCGUUUCCUUCCUCAUCAGCGAUCGAAGCAGGCGCCAUCUCCAGCUCCUCCCCCACGCACGGCUGUACCCGCAGCUCUGGUCAUCAGAUCAGCCAUCCGUCCAUUCCCUCACCGCCGACCACUUCAGCAGUCGCGAACAGCAGCUGAGACACGGCGCCCACAGACCCACCGCCAGAACUGCCCAGCUUUGGCCACCGAGGCUGGCCAUCACCGGAUCUGCAGCAAGGAAAGAAGAAAUGGACUAAAAGGAAAACAAAACCGAAGUGAAACAAAAAGAAAAAAACAAAUUAAAACCGACUGUUUGUGGUGUUUGCUUGGCUUUGCAGGUGACGGUGGUCUUCACCGCCGGCGAGGAGAGGAAGAAGGAGAGAAGCCGGGCCAGAUCCACCUCGUCUCCUGUUUUUCUUGCGGCGGCGCGUGAACCCACGCGCCCGGCACUGUUCAUACAGCCCCCAGAAGUCCUUCCCUGCAAAUUUCUAGAAUUUUAGGGACUGUUUUUAUAAAUUUUAAAUUAUAUAAUGUAAUUUUUAUUUAUUUAUUUUGUAUUUGUAUUUUGUAUUUUGUAUU